rnacentral:rRNA from 1 species
GACGAACGCUGGCGGCGUGCUUAACACAUGCAAGUCGAACGGAUCUCGGUCUUCGGGCCGGGGUGAGUGGCGAACGGGUGAGUAACACGUGGGUAACCUGCCCUUGGCUCUGGGAUAACUCCGGGAAACCGGGGCUAAUACCGGAUAUGACUCUGGUCUGCAUGGACUGGGGUGGAAAGUUUUUCGGCCAGGGAUGGGCCCGCGGCCUAUCAGCUUGUUGGUGGGGUGAUGGCCUACCAAGGCGUCGACGGGUAGCCGGCCUGAGAGGGCGACCGGC